rnacentral:rRNA from 1 species
CAGCAGCCGCGGUAAUACGUAGGGUGCGAGCGUUAAUCGGAAUUACUGGGCGUAAAGCGUGCGUAGGUGGUCUUUUAAGUCCGUUGUGAAAGCCCUGGGCUCAACCUGGGAAUGGCAGUGGAUACUGGAAGGCUGGAGUGCGGUAGAGGAGGGUGGAAUUCCCGGUGUAGCGGUGAAAUGCGUAGAGAUCGGGAGGAACAUCAGUGGCGAAGGCGGCCCUCUGGACCAGCACUGACGCUGAGGCACGAAAGCGUGGGGAGCAAACAGGAUUAGAUACCCUGGUAGUCCACGCCCUAAACGAUGCGAACUGGACGUUGGUCACAACUCGGUGAUCAGUGUCGAAGCUAACGCGUUAAGUUCGCCGCCUGGGGAGUACGCUCGCAAGAGUGAAACUCAAAG